rnacentral:miRNA from 1 species
CUAGAAUUCUUUCCAGUGA